rnacentral:lncRNA from 1 species
UUUUACUACUUUAUGAAUGGAAAAGUACUUCUAAGAAUGGAAGUGGUGUCGGACAUAAAAGAUACUGAACUAGGGCUGGGCUCAGUGGCUUAUGCCUGUAAUCCUAGCACUUUGGGAGGCUGAGGUAGGCGGAUCGCUUGAGGCCAGGAGUUCAAGACCAACACGGCCAAUGUGGCGAAACCCCGUCUCUACUGAAAAAUACAAAAUUAGCUGGGUGUGAUGGUGGGUGCUUGUAGUCUCAGCUACUUGGGAGGCUGAAGCAAGAGAAUUGCUUGAAUCCAGGAGGAGGAGGUUGCAGUGAGCCCAGAUCAUGCCACUACACUCCAGCCUGGGUGACAGAGUGAGGCACUGUCUCAAAAAAAAAAAAAAAAAAAAAAAAGAUACUGAACUAGGCACUUGACAUCCAAGAUGUCCACUUGGCCCUUUUCUAAGUGUACUUCACUUUGUUUUCAUUCCUCCUCUAAAGCUUUUUAACAAACUGUCAC